rnacentral:lncRNA from 1 species
UAGCCUGAUGCGUAGCAUAAAGAAGAGCUCUAGAUUUUUCAACAUUGGAAUGGAGAUUACCAUUAACACGAUUCAGACAUAUUAAGGCCUUCUUGACAGCCCUGAGCUUACCCGAAAGGAUUUGCAACGGGUCCCCAGAGGCAGGAGUAUUCCAAGCAUAUUGGACAACAUCCAUUAAAUUUUCUAGCCCAGCCAUGAAAUUAAAAAACUGGAAUGGCUUCGGAAGGCGGGGAAUGACCAG